AUAUCCGAAUCAAAGAAGAAGAAAAAGGCUGUAAAUCAUUUCACCACACCCGGCCUAUUUAACCCUCCCUUUCACUGACCCAUUUCCCAUUGCUUUCAUUUACCCCCAAUCAAUUCACGCCGCAAGACAUCACGAAGAAAAGAAGUACGAGGAAAAUUCUUGGAAAUUUGACGGAAAAAUAAGUCCUCUAUGUCUGAACCCAAUUCAACCUCCCACGACGCAGCACCGAUCGUAAAAAUUUGACAAAGUGCAGUGUCAUUGUGGACAACUUCUGGUGUUUUCUUCUUCGAUGGACUUACGGUUCAUAGUGGGUUAAGUAAGGAGGGUAAAAUACUUGUCUAUGUCUUAUGCCUAAAUCUAAAUUUUAAUUGGGCUGCUCUAUUUUCUUUUUGAGGAAUUGACACGUAAAUUUCAAUGAUACACUUGCAAACACUGAGAUUCUGCUAGAUAAUGUAACACAACCAUGGGAAAAUUGAGGGAAAUUUAAAAGCAGAAUAAGCCUAGAAGCAAUUGAAAUUUACAAAUUGGAGACAACAUUGUUAUUCUCGUCCAAUGCAUACUAACAUUUCUUGUCACCAAUAUAUGGUUCAGUUUUUUCACAAGAAUAGUUGUGAAAAUUAUAGUUGUUAUUAAUGAAUAGUUGUGAAAAUUAUAAACAACCAAGGCAUAUUUACACAUGCUACAGGGUAAUAGUUGUGAAAAUUAUAGACAUUUCUUCUUUGGUUUAUAUGGUAGAGGCCUUUUACCACAUAGAUGGGUGAUCAUUAGUAAGAUAUGGAAAAGUAAUUUGAUAUUCUUCACCAACCAAAGGUCUGUACCCUGAUUGUGAAGCACCUGCAGUGUCAUAGAGGUGGAAGAAAUGACUGAGAAGGGUAAAAUCCAUACUUUGCUGAAGUUGUAUUUUGAAUAUGUAUAAUUGCUUGCGUACAAAUUCAAUAUUCACUAUUGGGUAACGAGUUGCUUUAAUUCUAGUACAUCGAAAAGUGGAUAUAAUUAUGAACAUAGUUACAAUACUUGUUUUUUGUUAUAACACUAAUCUAUUCCCACUCAUUUUGCCAUAGGAAAAGAAAUAGUAGAUGUCAUGGACGAUGAAGUAUUGGUAGAAUCCAAUAAUGAGAACUUGUUCGACAAUGUAAUCACGUUAGAAGGUGAUAAUUUAGGAGGAGAUGUUGCGAAUGUGCCUACGAUGGGUAUGAAGUUCAACGAUGAGAAAGAGCUGUUUGAAUUCUACAAAAAAUAUGCCUAAGACAUAGGUUUUCCUGUAAGGAGAGGGAAUUCUAGGAUGGAUGAGGAUGGAAUAAUAAGAUAUGUUAGGUUGACCUCUAGUCAUGAGGGGCGAAGAAGCUAUUGCACAAACGCUUCUUUAAGGCCACAACCAACAAUGUAGACGAGUUGCAAAGUAAGGCUAACUGCUUCCUCAGAUAUUCAUGGAAUAUGAAAAAUUUGCACAGUCGACCUCCAGCACAAUCAUAAAACAAGUCCGUCGAAAUCUAGGUUGUAUCGAUGCAACCGAGAAUUGAGUGCAAAUGUGAAACGAAAGCUAGAGGUGUAUGAUACAAUCUGAAUUCCUUUGCAUAAGAGUUACAACUCUACAAUUGUUGAAGCUGGUGGGUAUGAGAAUCUGACGUUCAUAGAAAAUGAUUGUAGAAAUUACGUUGAACAAGUGAGGUGAUUAAAACUAGGUGAAGGAGAUGUCGUGGCAAUAUAAUCCUACUUUUCACGAAUGUAAGCAUCUUGCUCUGGGUUUUACUUUUCUAUGGAUUUUGACGACAAGUCACGAGUUAAGAAUCUUUUUUGGGUGGACAAAAGGUGUAGACAAGCGUAUAAAGAGUUCGUGGAUGUAGUUUCAUUUGACACCACUUAUCUCACUAAUAAAUAUGACAUGUCCUUUGCCCCCUUUGUUGGAGUAAAUCAUCACGAGCAAUCAACGCUGCUUGGAUGUGGUUUGCUAUCAAAUGAGGAUACAAAUACCUUCAUGUGGCUGUCUCGGACAUGGAUGUAGUACAUGGAUGGUCAAGCUCCUAAUGGAAUUAUUACUAAUCAAGAUAGGGCUACGCAAAAUGCAAUUGAGAUAGUGUUUCCAAACAUGAGACAUACAUGGUGUAUAUGGCACAUAUUCAAGGAGUUACUUGAGAAGUAAGAAACAAAUUUUUUCUUGUAUACAUGGAUUAGUUUAUGACUCACAGUUUGCUAGGGAAUUCGAAGAAGGUUGGAUAUUUAUGGUUGACACAUAUAACUUAUACGAUAAUGAAUGGUUAUUGAGGUUGUAUGAGAACAGGAUUCGAUGGGUGCCGUGCUAUUUGAAAACGACCUUUUGGGUUGGGAUGUCAACUACUCAACACAGUGAGAGUAUGAAUGCGUUAUUUGAUAGGUAUGUUCAUUCGAAGACAUCAUUGAAGCAUUUCGUAGAACAAUAUGAACGAGCAUUGCGAAAUAAAGUUGAAAAAGAGUUCUAAGCAGAUUUUAAGUCUUACUUAGAGAUGGUGCCGUGUACAACCAAAUAUGAAAUGGAAAAGCAAUUUCAGGCAGUUUAUACGAUAUCUAAGUUUCGAGAAUUUCAAGAUGAGAUAACUGGAAAAGUGUACUGUGAUGUCAUCUUUGCAUCGGACGGAUGUUCGAGAAAGACGUACGAGGUGGAAGAGAAUGUCAUUCAUGAAGAAAAUGUGAGGAAGAAAAUUUUGGUUGGUGUCGUUUUGUGUAGAGGAUGUCGAUAUUACUUGCAAUUUUCAUCUCGUCGAGUUUCAAUAAAUUCUAUGCAGAAAUGCUAUCUCAGUGUUGAUGUGUAAUGGCGUUACAUCAGUACCAGAGAGGUAUAUAUUGAGGAGAUGGAGGAGAGACAUUUGUAGAGCCCACACGAGGGUCGCAAUGAAUUAUGACGAUUUGAUUAGCACUUCUGGCCAAUUGAGGUAUGACAGAAUUUACAAAGAAUUUGCUACGUUGGCAGACAUUGUCGCAGAUGAUGAAAAGCAAACUUGUACGGUAAUAGAUUGGAUUCGAUUGCAAUGUACGGAGACAAUGUUGACGCAAAUGAUUUCUAAAGGCACUAGCAUUUCACUGCCUAGUUUACAUUUGGGAUCCCAUUCUAGAGCAUCAUUUGAUACGGUAGUGGAAGUAUACAAGAUCCAAAAUGCUCGAAAAGGAAUUAUGCGCCAAGAAAACUUCACACUAAAAGCCCUUUGGAGUCGUGUUCUAAGAAAUCUAAGGUAUUAUAUUAGUGUAUUUUCGUGUCAACUAUGUAUAUACACAUGUUGAAAAUAUAAAAUAAUGUAAAUUUGUAUGUCGUGCAGGCAACGUCGACUUUAACGAAAGGACAGAGACCGACAUCGAGACAGAGCAAUCUUCAACACGAUACACCUCAGACUGCAGAAUGUUCCGUAUCAGCACCAUUGUCAUGUUCACAAGCCAUAUUGGUAAGUAAAAAAUUUUGUUUGUAAAUGUUCCAUGGAAGCAUGUUGUAAUUAAGUUUUGAUUUCACGUAGGGUGAUGGGAAAAUGUUUGCAGUUGCACAACCCUUCACACCUUCAAAUUUCAUUAGUCCAUCAACAUCUAAUGUUGUACUUAAUUGUAAAGGUAAUUAAAUGCUUGUAAUUGCGUUUUGAUGUUUUAGUAUUUUUUCCACUUCCAUUGAUGUUUUACUUUUCACAGUUGGUAGUGCAAUGGAACCUACAACCGGUGCAUUUCAUCUUGGGUUUAAUGGCAUAAGUUGUACUCUAAUAUACUUUUUGUGCAUUUCUUUUCCAAGUGACAUUCUCAAAAUGAUUCUUACUGUAGCCAUUCCAAGCACUGAUGUCACCUCCUCAAAGUGCCAUAUCAGGUUGGAUGUCAAGUGCAACCCAGCUGAUCCCUCAGCCUGUUGUUGCAAGUCAUAUUGCCCAUGUUCAUUCUCCAAGAUCUGGACUGACUUAUCAAACAGAUGGUUUGUCAAUAAGACUAAUAUUCAGGCAUGGCAAUGUACAUCAAUCGGCAAUGCAAGCAUGUGACGGUAGUAUGGACUUGUAGUUAGAAGCUGUGUGUUUAUGUUGGGGUUGUAAGGAAGUAUGAGGCAUUUGUUUGUCACAUCAAUAAGCUGUGUGUUUCAGCUUCAAAUUCUUUGUUUUGUGCCUGAUUAUUGAAAUGAUCCACUCAGGAAUUGAAAUUAUUGUUAUGAUUUUAGGUAACUCGUCAAUUAUUUUAGAACUUACUUAUUUACUUAUAAUUUGGUGAGAUCAUUAAUGAUCUUUCAGAUUGCACUAAUAUGUUGAUUUCUUGUAUGAACAGACAUGUGAUUUUUUUAUGAUUAACGAAUGGAG
rnacentral:lncRNA from 1 species